rnacentral:rRNA from 1 species
GCCUGCUAGCCGCAGUAUUUUGACUGUGCUAAGGUAGCAUAAUCAUUAGUCUUUUAAUUGAAGGCUGGUAUGAAUGGUGAGACGAGAAAAAAUCUGUCUUUGAAUUUUAUUUUUAAGUGAAAAAGCUUAAAUUUAUUUGGAGGACGAUCAGACCCUUUGGAGCUUUUUUGUUGGGGCGACAACUUAAGAUCCUUGUGGGAGAGAUUUAAAGACUAAGUUACCCUAGGGAUAACAGCGUAAUCUUCUUAGAGAGUUCUUAUCGAUAAGAAGGUUUGCGACCUCGAUGUUGGAUUAAGAAAUUAGCAGGGUGUAGAAGCUCUGCUGGAAAGUCUGUUCGACUUUUAAUAUCUU